AAACUACUCCCUCCGUCCACAAAUACUUGUCGGAGAAAUUGAUGUAUCGAUGUAUUUUAGUUCUAGAUACAUUCAUUUUUAUCCACUUAUCCGACAAGUAUUUCCGGACGGAGGGAGUACUUU
rfam:Triticum aestivum genome assembly, contig: Triticum_aestivum_CS42_TGACv1_scaffold_145876_2BS